CUUAGCGUUACCCCUAUCAUAUACUAAAAUUGGAGCGAUACAGAGAAGAUUAGCAUGGCCCCUGCGCAAGGAUGACACGAAAAAACCGUCUGUAUUAUUUU
rnacentral:snRNA from 1 species